rnacentral:rRNA from 1 species
AUGAACGCUGGCGGCGUGCUUAACACAUGCAAGUCGAACGAAGCACUUUAUUUGAUUUCCUUCGGGACUGAUUAUUUUGUGACUGAGUGGCGGACGGGUGAGUAACGCGUUGGUAACCUGCCUUGUACAGGGGGAUAACAGUUGGAAACGGCUGCUAAUACCGCAUAAGCGCACAGCAUCGCAUGAUGCAGUGUGAAAAACUCCGGUGGUAUAAGAUGGACCCGCGUUGGAUUAGCUAGUUGGUGAGGUAACGGCCCACCAAGGCGACGAUCCAUAGCCGACCUGAGAGGGUGACCGGCCACAUUGGGACUGAGACACGGCCCAAACUCCUACGGGAAGCAGCAGUGGGGAAUAUUGCACAAUGGGCGAAAGCCUGAUGCAGCGACGCCGCGUGAGCGAAGAAGUAUUUCGGUAUGUAAAGCUCUAUCAGCAGGGAAGAUAAUGACGGUACCUGACUAAGAAGCACCGGCUAAAUACGUG